CAGAGCAUAUCAAGAUAUGAAGGUGACUUGCUGGCAAAAUGCUACUUUACAAAGCACAACACCUGUGUAUUAUCCUCUAGUGACUUUAGUUACAAAAGUCUCUGUUCCAUUCAAAAGUCACUACUGCAACAUUAACAACUCACCCAGAGAUACAUAUUAACAGACAACAACAUACCCAUGAUUGCACUCCAUCUCGAUUACAACCAAACAUUUUCUGGCAAAACCUUUGACCAACCACACUAAAUCACCUUUCCUAUUUCACCAAUAUCCAUUCAUUUUGUUCCCCAUAUUUCAGAUUUAAAUAUCUCAAAUCUAUGACUGUGUUGCCCUUGC